rnacentral:rRNA from 1 species
UACUACGACCAUGCCACCCUGAACGAACCCAAUCUCUUCUCAUCUCGGAAGCUAAGCAGAGUCGGGCCUGGUUAGUGCUUGGAUGGGAGACCACCUAGGAAGACCAGGUGCUGUAGGCA